rnacentral:rRNA from 1 species
GAUGAACGCUGGCGGCGUGCCUAAUACAUGCCAGUCGAGCGAACGGACGAGAAGCUUGCUUCUCUGAUGUUAGCGGCGGACGGGUGAGUAACACGUGGAUAGCCUACCUAUAAGACUGGGAUAACUUCGGGAAACCGGAGCUAAUACCGGAUGAUAUUUUGAACCGCAUGGUUCAAAAGUGAAAGACGGUCUUGCUGUCACUUAUAGAUGGAUCCGCGCUGCAUUAGCUAGUUGGUAAGGUAACGGCUUACCAAGGCAACGAUGCAUAGCCGACCUGAGAGGGGGAUCCGCCACACUGGAACUGAGACACGGUCCAGACUCCUACGGGAGGCAGCAGUAGGGAAUCUUCCGCAAUGGGCGAAAGCCUGACGGAGCAAAGCCGCGGGAGUGAUGAAGGUCUUCGGAUCGGAAAACUCUUUUAUUAGGGAAGAACAUAUGUGUAAGUAACUGUGCACAUCUUGACGGUACCUAAUCAGAAAGCCACGGCUAACUACGUG